CCUGGUUGAUCCUGCCAGUAGCAUAUGCUUGUCCUCAAAAGUUUAAGCCCAUUCCAUGUAUAAGUCCCCACGCGGCUGGAAAAGAGUGAAAUGCGAAUGGCCAUUAAAUCAGUUAUGGUUCCUUUGAUCGCUCACCCGCUACUUGGCUAACUGUGGCAAUUCUAAGAGCUAAUACAUGCAAACGAGCGCUGACCUCCGGGGAUGCGUGCUACGAGCGCUGCCCUCCGGGGGAUGCGUGCAUUUAUCAGACUAAAACCCGCGCGGGGCGCGCUGCCGCGUGGUGGCCCCCGGCCUGUUUGGUGACUCUAGAUAACCUUGGGCCGAUCGCUCGCCCUCGCGGCGGGCGACGGACUCAUGAAUGUCCUGGCCUUAUCAACCUUCCGAUGGUACUCUAUGUGGCCUACCAUGGUGACCCCACCGGGUAAACGGGGGAAUCAGGGUUCGAUUCCGGAGAGGGAGCCUAGAAAUGGCUACCACAUCCAAGGGGAAGGCAGCAGGCGCGCAAAUUACCCAUUCCCGACUCGUGGAGGUAGUGACGCGAAAAAUAAACAAUACAGGAACUCUUUCGAGCCCUGUAAUUGGAAUGAGUGGUACUUUAAAUUCUUUGGCCAGUACCCAUUUGGAGCGCAAGGUCUGGUGCCAGCAGCCGCGGUAAUUCCAGCUCCAAUAGCGUAAUCUUAAAGUUGCUGCAGUAAAAAGACUCGUAGUUGGAUCUCGGGGCCGGGCUGACGUCCGCCGAAAGGCGUGCUACCGACUGUGUCCUGCCCCUGCCCUCGGCGGCCCCUUCGAUGCCUCUUGGUAGUGUCUUGCGCGGGGUUUUGAAGCGUUUUACUUUGGAAAAAAUUAGAGUGUUCAAAAGCAGCGCCAGGUUGCACGAAUACUGCAAGCUAGAAUAAUGGAAUGGACUCCGGUUCUAUUUUGUGGGUUUUCUCAAAUGGACUGGGGCCCAUGAUUAAGAGGGACGGCCGGGGGAUUCGUAUUGCGCCGCUAGGAGGAGAAAUUCUUGGACCGGCGCAAGACGGACAAAGCGCGAAAGGCAUUUGCCAAGAAUUUUUUCAUUAAUCAAGAACGAAAGUCGGAGGUUCGCGAAGACGAUCAGAUACCGUCGUAGUUCCGACCAUAAACGAUGGCCGACUACGAUCCGCGGCGUUAUAACGAUGCCGACUAGCGAUCCGGCGGCGUUAUUCCAAUGUACCCGCCGACUAGCGAUCCGGCGGCGUUAUUCCCAUGACCCGCUGGGGAGCUACCCGGGAAACCAAAGUCUUUGGGUUCCUGGGGAGCUACCCGGGAAUCCAAAGUCUUUGGUUCCCGGGGGGAGUAUGGUUGCAAAGCUGAAACUUAAAGGAAUUGGACGGAAGGGCACGCAGGAGUGGAGCCUGCGGCUUAAUUUGACUCAACACGGGAAACCUCACCCGGCCCGGACACGGAAAGGAUUGACAGAUUGAUAGCUCUUUCUCGAUACUGUUGGUGGUGGAUGGCCCUUCGUAGUUGGUGGAGCGAUUUGUCUGGUUAAUUUCCGACAACGACGAGAACUCCGGGCAGGCUAAAUAGUUCGCGGCCCCCUUGCGGGCCGGCGUCCAAAACUUCUUAGAGGGACAAGUUCGUUCAGCCCACGAGAUUGGAGCAAUAACAGGUCUGUGAUGCCCUCUUAGAUGUCCGGGGCCUGCACGCGCGCCAACACUCUGAGCGGGAUCAGCGUGUGCCUGGCCUUUCGCCGACAGCGUGGGGGAAACCCCGCUGAACCCUCUCGGGAUGGGGAUUGGGGAUUGCAACUGUUUUCCAAUGAACGAGAAAUUCCCAGUAAGCACCGGUUCACAAAAGCUCGUGUUUAAUUAAGUCCCUGCCCUUUGUACACACCGCCCGUCGCUACUACCGAUUGGAUGGCUUAGUGAGUCCUCGGAUCGGCCCCGCCGGAGUCUUCACGGCUCUGGCGUGCGUGCCGAGAAGACGAUCAAACUUGACUAUAAGGUCUUGACUAUCGAGAGGAAGUAAAAGUCGUAACAAGGUUUCCGUAGGUGAACCUGCGGAAG
rnacentral:rRNA from 1 species